rnacentral:rRNA from 1 species
UACAGAGGUCUCAAGCGUUGUUCGGAUUCAUUGGGCGUAAAGGGUGCGUAGGCGGCGCGGUAAGUCGGGUGUGAAAUCUCGGAGCUUAACUCCGAAACUGCAUUCGAUACUGCCGUGCUUGAGGACUGGAGAGGAGACUGGAAUUUACGGUGUAGCGGUGAAAUGCGUAGAUAUCGAGAGGAACACCUGCGGCGAAGGCGGGUCUCUGGGCCGAUGACUGACGCUGAGGAGCGAAAGCGUGGGG